GACGUAGGGCGCGAGCGUUGUCCGGAUUUAUUGGGCGUAAAGAGCUCGUAGGCGGCUUGUUACGUCCGACUGUGAAAUCCCGCGGCCCAACCGUGGAACUGCCAUCGAUACUGGCGGACUUGAGUGCGUGAGGGGUUACCGGAACGAGCAGUGUAGCGGUGAAAUGCGUAGAUAUUGCUCGGAAGGCCAGAGGCGAAGGCGGGUAACUGGCACGCAACUGACACUGAGGCACGAAAGCGUGGGGAGCAAACAGG
rnacentral:rRNA from 1 species